rnacentral:lncRNA from 1 species
GCUUCAUGAGUUUAUUUUGAACCAUUGGUUUGAUUAUUUUUCUUUACAGUAGGCCGAUGUGGUGGAGAAGACCAAAAUCAACAGAUGUUUGUUUGAUGAAAACUUAGCAAAUGUACACGGAGGAAACCAGGUUACACCCAGUUCAUUCCUUGACCGUAAUUGUCUAAUCAAAGUGUCGAGAGGGAUGCCCAAAAAGUGGAGCAGAGCCUAAAUUAAAAGUAGUGAAACAGUAGAAAAGUUUCUAUGCUGAAUGAAUCGAAUCACUAACUGAGAUUAAAUUAUUUCAUAUUUUGGAUUGGGUAUUGCAGAGAAAGAAGCAGGCGACUACAUAUUUACCUGCAAGUUCUAUGGCUUGGUCAGAGGGUGAGUUGUCCAUUCGUGAUUUGUACGGCGAUCCUUACAACCAACCCAUUAACAAUCAGGUAUAUGCAUAAGCUUUUUAAUAUGUUGAGUUAUUAUGAAUGUAUUAAACUUACAGAGUUUGUGGAGGAUAUAGUCUUGUGAAGAUGGUAGAGAACGUUUGUUGGACUUAGCAAGAGAAGGAUAAGUUUUUGGGAGAGUUGUUUUUUUUAAGAUUUUUUU